GGACCCGCACAAGCAGUGGAGCAUGUGGUUUAAUUCGAAGAUACGCGCAGAACCUUACCAACACUUGACAUGUUCGUCGCGAGACUAAGAGAUUAGUCUUUUCAGUUUGGCUGGACGAAACACAGGUGCUGCAUGGCUGUCGUCAGCUCGUGUCGUGAGAUGUUGGGUUAAGUCCCGCAACGAGCGCAACCCCCUACUUUUAGUUGCCACCAUUUAGUUGGGCACUUUAAAAGAACUGCCAGUGAUAAGCUGGAGGAAGGUGGGGAUGACGUCAAGUCCUCAUGGCCCUUAUGUGUUGGGCUACACACGUGCUACAAUGGUACUUACAAUGGGAUGCAAAGAGGCGACUCUUAGCUAAUCCCAAAAAUGUGUCUCAGUUCGGAUUGUACUCUGCAACUCGAGUGCAUGAAGCUGGAAUUGCUAGUAAUCGC
rnacentral:rRNA from 1 species